CAGAAUUGAGUUAAAUUUGAGGACACUCAGCUGGCGUCGCAGAAUUGCUUGGUGUGUAGAAAACCCACACAUCUGGUGUCAGAAGUCUUGUGAAGUGGAGUGUUCUGAGGCUUCCCUCGCUGGCCACUUCUGCCAUCGGAGGCUCUCAUGAUGUGACCGUUCGUCUUUAUUUUGAAACACUCAUCUCAAUUACUCCCUCCAAUACGUCAGGAAAGGAGGACCCUCACGACAAACACGACAUAGUCAUUGAAUUAACAGGAAAAUGGGGAAACUCUGGUGGAACUUUAUAGGAACAACAUCUACUAAAACCGGCUUUUCUUCA